rnacentral:rRNA from 1 species
GGAAUAUUGCACAAUGGGCGCAAGCCUGAUGCAGCCAUGCCGCGUGUGUGAAGAAGGCCUUCGGGUUGUAAAGCACUUUCAGUCGUGAGGAAGGUAGUGUAGUUAAUAGCUGCAUUAUUUGACGUUAGCGACAGAAGAAGCACCGGCUAACUCCGUGCCAGCAGCCGCGGUAAUACGGAGGGUGCGAGCGUUAAUCGGAAUUACUGGGCGUAAAGCGCAUGCAGGUGGUUUGUUAAGUCAGAUGUGAAAGCCCGGGGCUCAACCUCGGAAUAGCAUUUGAAACUGGCAGACUAGAGUACUGUAGAGGGGGGUAGAAUUUCAGGUGUAGCGGUGAAAUGCGUAGAGAUCUGAAGGAAUACCGGUGGCGAAGGCGGCCCCCUGGACAGAUACUGACACUCAGAUGCGAAAGCGUGGGGAGCAAACAGGAUUAGAUACCCUGGUAGUCC